UGAGCCCACAGAGGCUCUACGGGCGCGCGCCGCGUGGCUGAGCGAGCGGAAGCUGCAGCCUGGGACCAGAAGAAUCAGGAGGUGAGGUGCCGCCAAGCCGCCUCGAGGAAGUGCUAGCCAAGAAGUGCAAGUUCCUUUGAGAUCUGUCGCCUAUUGAUGUGCCGUUCAUCUGUUACUCCACAGCAUUUGUUGAACCACAUAGAGUCUCCAAUUCUCAGUUCCUUGGACCAGAAAGAUGGAAUUUCUAUCAGAGUUUUAGCUACCCAUGCUGCCAAACAGUCCCAAGGAGGCCUCUCCUCAGGACACAGCUGCAAGACAGAAGAGUGGGGGAAAGCCAGGCAACUCAAUUGCCUUGCAGGACCAGUGCAGCCUAAAGGAGCCCUUAUUAGGGCUGAAGACCAGGUCUUGGAGCCCAACAGGCUUCCCAGUGCCAUAUGAAGAGAAUGAUGCUGGGAGGUUUAGUAACCCUGGAUGGAGCCAGCCUGGAACCGAUGGUCUGCAUGGGCAGUAGGUAGCAAGCAACGACGGAACAGUGCCUAGAGGGUACCCUCUGAUGACAGUGGAGGAAAGGAGAGGCCACAUAAAGCAGCCAUCUGGAUCACCGUCUUCAUCUGUUCGGUCUUUCCCAGGACUCACUAGGAACAUCUAUGGCAUGCCAAGCUUGGUAGCUCACCUCAGGGCAGCCCCUCACAACCUUGGUGCACGUCAGGAUCACCUGAGGAACAGAGCUCUGGGAAUGGUGGUUCUCACAAGCUCCCCAGGUGACUUUGACACAAGUUGUCCACUGACCCCACAAUAAGAAACCUACUCUUGAAAAAGGUUUUAAACCCCAAGUUGGUCUCUUUUUGACACCAUCAUAUUAUAUAGCUGAGUAAAUUUUUCUUAUUAAUAUAUGACUUUAUGGUAGAAUCAUAAUUAGUUUAAGAUUCUGAGUUGGCUAUUUGAAAAAUAAGUCUGGCACUUCACAUUUUCUAAAGAACAUAAUCUCCACAUUCUGAUUUUUUUAUGCUCUACUUAAAUAUCUUUUUCUCCAAUUCAAUUUCCAUCAAGGCAUAAGCAUAAUUUCUUAGUGGUGGGUAAUUACUGGGUUUGCAGCAUAUAGGUUGGAAAGAACUAAGGCUCAGAGGGACAGACUAGGUUCUAGCUCUCUGUGACCUUGAUAAAAACACUCCCUGGUGCUUCCCAUCUACCCAGAAAGAGAUCUAAAGAUAAAUCAGAAUGUAGAAGGUGGUUUGAAACUAGCAAGUAAAUAAAGAUUUGAGUUAUUUUUAUUGAAAAACUAAUCAGACAGAUCCUAAUAUUAUUAAUUAGAUUUUUACUCUACUUACGAACACAAAAAAGGAGAUAAAUAUUUGAAUCUUAGAGAUGUAUCUAUCAUUACAAAUUCCAGAGAACCUGGAAUAAAAUGUUAGGACAUCAUGGGGCCAGAUUCAAUGGGUUUAAUUGGUAAAGCCACAUACCAAAUAUUCCCAACCACACCACUGUAAUUCUACUAGGUAAGUUUUCAGUGUGCUUCUUGUUCUUUUCCUAUUUUGUUCAGUACAAAUCUCUUCCAAGAUAAGACAACCACAGUGAAUGUUCAAAGCUUAGCACAAAGUCAAUUUUUCUCAAUAAGCAAAUAUUUUCUUGGACCAAUUUAUGUAACAUGAGACUGAGGCAGUUAUGCUAGUUAUCCUGAUCUUUCUAUUCAUUUCUGGGCCCUUCAAAUUUUUAUUCUUUGGUCAGUUUUGUAAGAAAUCAUUCUUAUGAGAGUUUCAAAUUUAUUAUUAUGUAUUUUGAGCAUAUUACUUCUCAAAACUUUACCUGACUGCAAGUUCUCCUUUUCUCAAUUAAAAGUAUAUUAAUUUAUAUUCUUUUUCAAUUAUUAUUUAAAACUUAAAUUUUAAUAACAACUGUUAAAUAAAAAUGACUAGUUAUUUAAAAGUAAAAUUUCUUAGUUUUCCUUUAAGAAUUGACUUUAUAGAAAUUUACACAUUUAUUCUUUAGCAUUUCUCAGAAAACACCUAGCUACUUCUGCCCUAUUUGUAGCUAUAAUGGUGAGAAACACUGCUUUUUCUCAGCAGGUGUAACUACCCCAAAUGUAGCUAAAUCAGGAGGUAAGCAGGCCAAGCUGGUGAGGACAUAGAUACUCCCCACAUGCAGGGACACUUGAGCCUCAAGGAGCACAGGCCAAGGUUUAGUGCACUGUGCAGGCAGGAGGUUCAUCACUUCCAAAAAUAUCUGCUGAUCUGCAGAUACUAGGCCCCAGUUUGAAAGGUGAAUAAAUUUAGUAUUACAAACAAUCUUUUUUUCCUGCCCUCAAACACAGUAGCUCUGAUUAGAUUUAAAUAAGGGAGUCAGAAGUUCCUAAUCCUCCUCUAGGCGCUGGCACUGACAUUUAAUAAGGCAUUCACUGUUGAGAUGUCUUUCUUUUGUUUAAAACCAUACAAGGAAAUAUCUUCUA